rnacentral:rRNA from 1 species
UACGUAGGGUGCGAGCGUUAAUCGGAAUUACUGGGCGUAAAGCGUGCGUAGGUGGUUCGUUGUGUCUGUGGUGAAAUCCCCGGGCUCAACCUGGGAACUGCAUUUGUGACUGCAUCGCUGGAGUGCGGCAGAGGGGGAUGGAAUUCCGCGUGUAGCAGUGAAAUGCGUAGAUAUGCGGAGGAACACCGAUGGCGAAGGCAAUCCCCUGGGCCUGCACUGACGCUCAUGCACGAAAGCGUGGGGAGCAAACAGG